AUACGGAGGGUGCGAGCGUUAAUCGGAAUUACUGGGCGUAAAGGGUGCGUAGGCGGCUUGAUAAGUCGGAUGUGAAAGCCCCGGGCUUAACCUGGGAAUUGCAUUCGAUACUGUCAGGCUAGAGUAUGUCAGAGGUUAGCGGAAUUCCUGGUGUAGCGGUGAAAUGCGUAGAUAUCAGGAGGAACACCAGUGGCGAAGGCGGCUAACUGGGACAAUACUGACGCUGAGGCACGAAAGCGUGGGGAGCAAACAGGAUUAGAAACCCCAGUAGUCC
rnacentral:rRNA from 1 species